AUUGAACGCUGGCGGCAGGCCUAACACAUGCAAGUCGAACGAGUGGCGGACGGGUGAGUAAUGUCUGGGAAACUGCCCGAGGGAGGGGGAUAACUACUGGAAACGGUAGCUAAUACCGCAUACCAUCGGAUGUGCCAAGAUGGGAUUAGCUAGGAGGUGGGGUAACGGCUCACCUAGGCGACGAUCCCUAGCUGGUCUGAGAGGAUGACCAGCCACACUUGAACUCAGCGACGGUCCAGCCUCCUACGGUAGGCAGCAGUGGGGAAUAUUGCACAAUGGGCGCAAGCCUUAUGCAGCCAUGCCGCGUGUAUGAAGAAGGCCUUCGGGUUGUAAAGUACUUUCAGCGAGGAGGCGUUACUCGCAGAAGAAGCACCGGCUAACUCCGUGCCAGCAGCCGCGGUAAUUC
rnacentral:rRNA from 1 species